rnacentral:ncRNA from 1 species
CAGCAGGAGAUAGACCUGCCGGGGAAAGAGUCAGAAACCCCGUAGCUUGGAUAGCAGGGUAGCGGGUAACCAAAACUCUGAAGCCUAUCGACAAAGCUUUCCUUGGGGAAGCGCGAGUCACUGGGCCGUAACGAAA